rnacentral:rRNA from 1 species
AUGGGGAAUCUUCCGCAAUGGGCGAAAGCCUGACGGAGCAACGCCGCGUGAGGGAUGAAGGCCUCUGGGCUGUAAACUUCUUUUCUCAAGGAAGAAGAUCUGACGGUACUUGAGGAAUAAGCCACGGCUAAUUCCGUGCCAGCAGCCGCGGUAAUACGGGAGUGGCAAGCGUUAUCCGGAAUUAUUGGGCGUAAAGCGUCCGCAGGCGGCCUUUCAAGUCUGCUGUUAAAACGUGGAGCUCAACUCCAUCACGGCAGUGGAAACUGUUAAGCUUGAGUUUGGUAGGGGCAGAGGGAAUUCCCGGUGUAGCGGUGAAAUGCGUAGAUAUCGGGAAGAACACCAGUGGCGAAGGCGCUCUGCUGGGCCAUAACUGACGCUCAUGGACGAAAGCCAGGGGAGCGAAAGGGAUUAGAUACCCCUGUAGUCAAUCACUAGUGAAU